rnacentral:lncRNA from 1 species
UUCCACCACCACAAGGACAAGGAGGAAGACACCCCCGUCGAGAAAACUACCUAUGGUGAAACAACCUAUGGAGAUAGUGAAAAAACUAGCUCUGGUGGUGAUAAUACAUAUGGCGAAAAAACUAGUGCCUAUGGAGAUAAUACAUAUGGAGAAAAAACUAGCACCUAUGGAGAUAACACUACAUAUGGUGAGAAAACUAGUUAUGGUGAUAAUACAUAUGGUGAAAAAACUAGCACCUACGGAGGAGAUAACACGUAUGGAGGUGAGAAAACUAGUUAUAGUGAUAAUACAUAUGGCGAAAAACCUAGCACCUACGGAGGAGAUAACACGUAUGGAGGUGAGAAAACUAGCUAUGGUGGAGGAGAUACGUAUGGAGAUAACAAAUAUGGUGAGAAAACCAGCACCUAUGGUGAGAAUACAUAUGGAGAGAAAACUAGUUAUGGUGGAACUGAGGAAGGUGGCUAUGGUGGAGGAGCUGCUGCCUAUUCAUCUGAGACUACUAAUUAUGAAGACACCACUGAAACCAAAACUGCUGAGGAUUAUAAGGAAGAGAAAAAACACCACAAGCAUCUUGAACAUGUCGGAGAACUCGGUGCCGUUGCCGCUGGCGCCUUUGCUUUGGUAAAUAAUUUUCCUAACAAUUAAUACGCCUAUGAUAGUAUUUACUGUGUGAGCAAAAUAUCCUUAAGGACAUUACUUUUCUUGACACACCAUAACCUAAAUUCUAUGUAUUCUCCAUAUGUAGUAGUGAUUUUUGCAACAAAAAUUUGCAAGAUAUACUAAUCAUGCAUCUAAAAGAUCACUAGUACGUGUAAUUGCCUAUGAUAAGUGAAAUUAAUAAUUCAAGACAUGUAAUGGUGACCACAUUUUUAAUUACUUUAAUACGGCCGGGUCUAACUUUUCCUUUUGAUGAUCACUUAAUUUCUUCCAUUAAUCUUUUUGGUGUGAAUGAAUGUUUCAGCAUGAGAAGCACAAGAUAGAGAAGGACCCAGAGAACGCACACAGGCACAAGAUAGAGGAAGGAAUAGCAGCAGCAGCCGCAAUUGGGUCAGGUGGAUUUGCAUUCCAUGAGCAUCAUGAGAAAAAGGAAGCAAAGGAAGAACAAGAGGAAGCUGAGGGAAAGAAGAAACAUCAUUUCUUCUAAUUUUCUCUCAUCAUAGCAUUUCUUUUCUUCCAAAAUAUAUGAUGUUAUGAGCUUUGUGUGCUUGCUCUAUCCUUGUUUGUUAUAUUGAGCACCUAAAUAAUGUGUAUGUGCGUUACAGUCUUGUGUUUGAUCAUGUAAGCGUUACUGGUAAAUUUGCCGUUUUAAGUCAUGUACAUGCAUGUUCUGCACUUUGGAGUGCGAAUAAAAUUAUACCUGUUAUAAAUAUAUUAUACUUUACUAUACAUAGUGAAUGUCUACUUUAUCAUAUAUAGUGAAUAUCUAUUCAUGAAAAAGUUAGAAACCCAAGGUGAGUUUUCCCUAUAAAUAAAAGGAUUUUCCCUUCAUUGUAAUAAAACUCCUCAGGGAUCCCAUGAGAAAUAAAGAAGUCUCCUCUCUUCUCUUUUCAUUCUUCUUCUUCUUUGCUUUAUAUUUCAUAAUACAUUAUUAGCACGAGACUGCCAAACAAGGUGAGAUUAUAAAUCUAAAGGCAAUUUUAAGGUUAGUAAUUCCUUUUGUAAUUUGUCUUUUGCUACUAAUGAUAUAAUUAUUGUUGGAUUUGAAAAACAAAAGUGAUUUGGAAUCACUUAUGCUUUAAAAAAUAUGAUGAUUAAUUUAAGUCUCAUCUCAUUAAGAGGGUAAGACAUUGGGUUAAAAGUUUCAAUGCACCAUGAUGAUAAGAUGUUGGUUCAAUUCCCACUGAGUUAUGCCUAAGAUGUAUUUAUAUGUAUAAGAAGUUGAGUUUGAAUCUCAAUGCACCAUAUUAAUGAUAUUAUGAUGGCUAAGGCAAAAAUAAUAUGCAUUUGAUGAAAAUUCAUGAAACUUGUCCAUUGAAUAUGCUUCAUUCCAUGAAGUGAAUGUGAUAGCAAUAUAUGAUAUACUUUGAAAGAUAUAUAUGCCUCGAUGUGCUCCUGAUGUAGCAAUAUCAUGAAAGAGGUUACAAGCUAUUGGAAUUUGAUAGACUUAAGGCACGAUUGUAUUCCAUUCCUGGGGAAUGAGAAGUUUAUUAAUACAAACGUGCACUUGAUUAUAUGAUGGUAUCACAACUCACCUCCAAAAAAGGCUGAAUGAUUGAGAAGAGUUAUUUUGAAAUCUACUUCUAAAGUAGUAAAUUUGAAAUUUAUUCAUGUAAUAGUAAAUCUAAGAUUUAUUAAAGAAAAAAAUAAUACAUGUCAUGGUAAACUUAUGUUUACUACUAUAAAUGCAUUCAUAAGGUUAUAUGAACGAUUGUGACAUCUUGAAGAUGUGCAUAUCUAGUAUUAGACAUGCAUUGAAGAACUAGAAGAUUCUUCACGAAUUAUUUAUGUCACUUGUUCUCAUGAUAAGUUGGUUGGACCAACUAAUAUUGGGAUUAGAUCCCUUAAAAUCUGAAAAGUAUAAAAGGUGAAUAAGGGCCCGUUCUCCUAUCACGUGAUAUGUUGAAAAGAUGCAUCAAUAAGAUGAUUACAUGUACAUUUUUUGUCAACCUGCAGUUUGACAUUCAUAAAGUUGCUUGCUCAAUAAAAUUGAGUUAAGAGCAGAACUUUCAGAUUGUGUAAUCAAGGUAAUUCAUCUUGAUAAUGCUAAUUAAGUUGGUGUUAAAUGCCUUCGAUAAAUAGUUGAAUCAUUGCUUAUGAGAACAAAGACACAUGUGUUGGUCUGAAGUAUGAUAUAUUGCAUAUAAUAACACUUGUUUGCAUUAGACCAAAAAUUAUUAUUAAUACUUCCCUCUCAAUUGGUUCAAGGUCAGGAAUCAAUUAUUCUAUCUAGUAGUUUUGAUGUGUGGUAUUUGAUAAAUGAAUAUAUCAUAAUGCAUAAAGAUGGAUUCCUCAAAGAAGAUAGAUGAUAUAUGUUAGUUUUUCUAACAUAAGGGGGAGAUUAUAAACAACUAUGAAAUAUGUUAGAAAUUAUCAUCAAAUCCUUAUUCAAAAGACAAUUCAAGUCAAAUGUCGAAAGCAUAUCAUAUUAAGCUGCAAGUGCUCUUAUUUUGUGUUCCUAAAGGAUAAAGUCUAUGCAUGCGUGAAACGUGGUAGACCAAUUGGUUCCUAAUGAAAUAAUCCUUGAAAAGGAUAAGGAGAAAAUGAUCAUAAUAAGAAGGCAAUAUGAUCUUGAAGAGCCUACGACAUAACACUUCAUGAAACCUUAUGAGAAGUUCAGGUACCUGAAAAUAAUGAAGUGAUGAGAUCUCAAAAUUUAUGUCGCAUUGUGAAUUGAUAUAAAAUGAUAUAUCAUUAUUAAUAUUUUUGAUAAAAUAUUAGCCUAAUAUUAAAAAAGAUUACGAGGAUUUGAAUUCUGUGUUUAUUGAAGCAUGCUGAUGUAAAAAAUAUCUAUUAAGUGGCAUGAAAGGAUGCAUCUUGAUUAGCAUAAAAACUUAUUUGAUUUACAGCUCAGACACUUGAAAAUGUCACACAUGAUAUGUUGACUAUUGUCACUUGACAAAAUUUAUAUGAAAAGUUUGAGGAUUCAAAAUGUUUUUGAAGCAUAUAAAAGUUUCUGGGAAACUUAUUUAUAUAUAAUCCUUAUAUAAAAAUUGUUGGAACUCUUGGAGAGUUUUCAAAGCAAUAAAUUAUUUGCUGAAAUGAGAAAUAUACCAAUUUGAAUUGGUUAUAAAGUACCAUAUCUUAGUGCAAUUAGUGCACUCAUGUAUCUUGCAAAUAAUACAAGAUCCGAUAUAACCUUUUUGGUCAAUUUGUUAGCAAGGUAUAGUUCUGCUCCUACUGGGAGACAUUAAAAUUGGAUAAAACACAUGCUCUUAUUUUAUUCUAAAGAUUGCAGUCCUGAUCUUCUUGAUUAUGCUGAUGCUGGGUAUUUAUUUAGUCCGCAUAAAUAUCGGUCUCAAAUAAGCUAUAUGUUCACAUGUGGGGAUACUGUUAUAUCUUGGAGAUAUUCAAAGUAGUCUUUGUAGCCACUUUAUCAAAUCAUGCUGAGAUAAUAGCUAUUAAUGAAGCAAGUCGAGAAUGAGUAUGGUUGAGAUUCAUGAUACAUCUCAUUUGAGAAAAAUAUGGUGUUAAAUGUGAUAAUGUACCCAUAAUUUUAUACGGAGAUAAUGCAGCAUGUAUAGCACAACUUAAGGAAGGAUUCAUAAAAGGAGGUAGAACGAAACACACUUUAUCAAAGCUUUUAUACAUACACGAGAUGCAACAGAAUGAUGAUAUGUAACACCCCACAUUUUGAACUAGAAUGAAAAUUCGUCAUUCAUAUGCGUAGAUGUUCCAAAGCCUUGAAUCCUAUGUAAAUUUGGUGUGUUAAUCAAUUAUGUAGUGUAGGAAUCUAUUUGAGCAUGAAUUAAGAUCAUAUAGGUCCCCUAACUCAAGGACAAGUUGAAAGCUUUCCUAUCGUUCAAGUUUUAGUGAGCGUCAAAACUUGGGUUAGCUUAAAUCAACCAUAACUUCUUGUGUAUAUCUAAUUAGAGGACCUACUAUAUAUCAAAUAAAAUAUCUUUAUAUUAUAUUUCCAACGAUACCAAUUUCGAUAAAAUCCGACAUCGGAGCAAAGAGUUAUGCCCAUUUUACUCUAGUAUGUUAGCCUAGAAAACUGACUAACGACAUUUUGUGAUAAGUUAUCACAAGUGUGACGAUUUAUCACAAAUGUCAUCAGCCUUAGGGAGAAAUCCACCUCAAUGAAGACAUUUUGUGAUAAGUUAUCACAAGUGUGAUGACUUAUCACAAAUGUCAUUAGCCUUAGGCAGAAAUCCAUCAAUUCCAGCCCCCUAGUGACGAUAUUUGUGACAACUUAUCACAAGUCUGACGGCUUAUCACAAAUGUCGUCAGCCUUAGAUUUUCAGUAAUUGGAAAAUGGUUUAGUAAGGGUAUUUUGGUAUUUUCCUUCACCUCCCAAGACUUAUAAACCUCAAGGUACGUAACUUUCUCCUAUUUUUCUUCAGUUAAACAUCUCAAAAAUCCUCUCUUACACUUUCAACCACAAGAUUAGGGUUUUUAUUAAAAUCAUCUCCCAAAAGAAAAAUUCAAGCCCUUUUUCCAAGAUAAUCAAGAAUUAAGUUUCUCAAUCCAAGAACUCUCUAGAAACUCAUCAAAGUUUCCUUUCUAAGGUAUGUGUAGUGUUCAUCUAUGGAUCCUUUUUAUCCAUGGAGCUUAAGAAUCAUGUUUUAAAUUAUAUAUUAUGAUUUUCAUGUUGUGUUAUGACUAUAUUCAUAUUGAUGAUUGUUGUUUGGAUUCAAGGUUGUAUCUUGAUGUGUUUUUCAUAAAGCAUGUGAGUAGGUUAGUUGAAACUCAUGAAUUUUGGAUGGAUUAGGAUUGUCAAAUUGAGAAGUACACCUAUGCCCAAAGUUGUGCAUAUAAGGUGUUUGAUAAAAUGCCAAGAAUGAUAGAAUCCAUGUUUUUAUGACUUAAUAGUGCUUAAAUUACAGGUCCAUGUUCUAUUCCUUAUGUUUCCACAUGAAGUCCAUGUUAUUGAUAUGUGUUGUUGUUAUGAGUUGUUAUUAUGAUAUGAAAUGUCCAUGAUAUUGAGGUAUGCAAGUAUACCCAUGUUAUAUGUAUUCCCUUUCAUAUAUAAGGUGUUGAGAAUCAUAUGUAGUAUGAAAUCCCCUACUUAAUAUUUUGAAUUGUGGAUGUUAUUCCUAUGAUCAAGAAGUAUCAUGUGUGUCAGCUUUCUUCCAUCGAGUCCUAGGGGGUACUUGUACCCAAAAAAUAUAACUGUGUACCUAGAGCUGAGUUAGUCUCAAGAUAAUCUCAGUCGUGCUAUGAUCAGUAGAGCUCAAUCAGUUAUAGAAUUCAAAACUCUCAGAGAGUUAUACAAUUUAAGAAAUCUCAGUAAUCUAAGUAUCGUUAUCAUUCUAUCUCCAGUUCAGUACUCAGCUCAUAUCUCAGUAGCAUUCAAGAAGUCAAUUCAGAACUUAGUAUCAUUCAGUCAGAUAGUAGAAUUCAGACGUAUUCCGUCAGAUAACGAAAUCAAGUGAACUCAGCCAGAUCAAUCAAGUAAGAUAAUUAGUAACAAUAUUCAGUUCAGUCUAAGUUCAGUUAAGGAUCAGUUUAAAGUCUUUCAGUUGGGAGUAGGAACUAGCACCGAGCGAGUGCAGGAUGGCGGGUUUCCCCGUUAGAGAGGCGAAGUCAUUAGCAACAAUACCUGUACUCCAGAACUAUAUAGCCAGUGCAGGAUGAGGAGUCGCCCAUCGGAUAAAGGCUUGACUACCUGCAGGAGUCUAUAUAGCCUUAGGCUGACUUUCUCUUGAGGGUCACCUGUUAGAGAGGCUUGACCAGAGGGGUCUUUACCUGUGGCUUGGUAUUGACAACCUUCCAGCUGGGGUUAUAGGUUGGACCCCACUAGUUUAGACUCGGGGCAUAUCGGUUAAGUGAGAACUCCCACAGUUAUAGUUUUAGUAUCAGUCUUCAGAGUAGAACUCAAAAAUCAGGACUGUCAGAUACAAUCAUUAAUCUUAGUAGGAAACUCGGAUAGUUCCAAAGAUUCAUAGACCACCCGCUAGAUAGGCUUGGUAUAACAUAAAGUUAUUCAGUAUUAAUUCUUAUAGAGGUCACCCAUCAGAUAGGCUUGAUCUCAGUCUCAGAUUCAGUUGAGUAUUCUCAAUAUCAGUUCCAGAGAUUACCCAUUAGUUAGGCCUGAUCUCAAGCUUAGUCACUCUUAAUCAUUAUUAGAAGAUUUGUACUAUCAGAUACAGCCGCUCAGUAUCAGUUAUAUUUGUUAGGCCGAUCAUCACAAUUAUAUCAGUUAGAUCAGUCAUCAUAGCUUACGUUAUCAGUAUUCAGUUUCAGGAUUGUUAGACACAGUCAAUCAGACCAGUUCUUCAUAAUGCGAACUAUUAGAAAUAGUCAUUCAUCUAUUCAGUAUCUCAGUAUCAGUAAACUCAUGUUGUCAGCAUUCCGACUCAGUAGUCAGUAUCACCACGAGUUUAGUUAUAGUUACUUAUACAUGUAUGUAUUCUCACGUUUAUAUUGGUCAGCAUUGUUCAUGCAUAUAAACCCUUUGCAUUUAGCCUACCUCACUCGUAUACUCAGUAUAUUUAGACGUAUUGACACAUUCGCGCUAUGGUGUUUUAUUUUAUGUCAUAGGUUUAGAGGCACGAGUUCCAAAGCAAUAGUAGUAUUAUAGAUUUCAACAGUCAGAGUUAGAAGUGAUUCCUUAUCCUUCGAGGACAUGAUUAUUUCUCUAUCUUCUCAUUGAUUAGUUCAUUAGUCGGAGUUAUUUGGGGACAUGUCCCAUCAGCUCCUUAUUCAGAUUAUUUAGACAGUAAAGGCUUUCAGACUAGAUAUAGUUUAGAUUAUAGACUAGAUUCAGACUUCAGUAUUUCGGUUUUGUUUUGGUAGUAUGAUACCACUUUAUUUAGACAGUGUUAUUAUUCAGAUUAUGUUUAGUAUUGAACCUUAUGGCCUUUCAGUUUAUAUUUCCGUAUUUAUAUUCAUAUAUUAUGCAGUGUACAUGUAUAGAUAUCAGUCAUGGUUUAGCUUGUGGUCCCUCGGGGUCAUGAGCAUUGUAUAGCUUUUCGGUUAAAAAAAUCGGGGUGUUACAUGAUAUUAAUGUGCAUCAGAUUCGUUCAAGUGACAAUGUGGCUGAUUUUUUCACCAAAUCUCCUUCAAUUUCAAGUUUCAAGAAAAUGGUUCACAAGAUCAGGAUGCAAAACCUUAAGGAUAUUCUUAUUAGGGGGAGCUAAUACGUGCUGUACUCUUUUUCCCUUACAAGGAUUUGUCCCUCUGGGUUUUUCUUGUAAGAUUUUUAAUGAGGCAGCCUAUAUGCGUAUUGUUAGAAAUGUGUACGCUUUUUUCUUCAAUAGAUUUUUUUCCUACAGGGUUUUUUCUAGUAAGGUUUUAACGAGGCACAUUGUCUAUUAAUUAGACAUUCAAGGGGGAGUGUUAUAAAUAUAUUACCAUAAAUAGUGAAUGUCUACUUUACCAUACAUAGUGAAUGUCUACUUUAUCAUAUAUAGUGAAUAUCUCUUUAUAGAAAAGUUAGAAACCCCAAGGUUAGUUUUUCCCUAUCAAUAAAGGAGUUUUCCCAUCAUUGUAAUAAAACUCUUCAAGAAUCCCCAUGAGAAAUAAAGAAGUCUCCUCUCUUCUAUCUCUAUUCUUCUUGUGUUUAAUUUAUAUUUCAUAACAAUACCUACAUUUUAAUACAAUGUUGUUUAUAUUAAUAUUUGUUUCAAUUACUCAUUUAUAAAAGAAAAAGUGAAAUUUCUAUCUUUUAAGCAAGUAAACAUUGCAAAAAAGCAUUUUUCUCUUGUUCCAUUUAUCCUUUGCGCAAAUGAUUUCUGUAAAUAGUGGAGUGGGAUGUACAUUACGUUGGGAAUUAUUUGAUUCAAUUUAUGUGGCAUAUUUUACUUUUUUAAGUUCAAAUAAGAUAAGUUUGACCAUGUAUUUGAAUAUGAAAUCUUCAAUUAUUUGAAAUAAAAUUUAUAUAUUUGAAACUAUGUACUAUAUUGACGAUUCAAAAUAUUUGAAACACAUAAGAACAUACGGUCAAAUAUAGAUAUGUUUAAAUUUUUAAAAACAAAAAGUGACAUAUAAACUAAAACAAAAGAAACAAAAAUAAUUAAAAAAGGACUGACAUUGUCUAAAAAUAAAUUAUAUGUAAUACCCCGUAUUUUCUUAGCUCAUUUUAAUUCUCAGUACAUGAGUUAUUCAAUAUAAAAUUUUUGAAGUGCUCAAUAUUUUUCAGGGAGCAUACCAAUGCGUAGGAAAUUCAGCCAGCUUUUUGACGAUAUAAAAUUCGCCCAAAUCCGAUACCCGAGCAAAGAGUUAGAGCAAUUUUAGUAAAGCAGUGUGCCAACUGGCACUUCAGCGCAUUGCGGAGCUAGGAAAAAUGGCAAUUUUCAAAUCCAGUGAGCCUCCCCAAUCAUGGCGUGUUGCGCCAAGCAAAAUUUUAAGAAUUGUCCUUUUCCAGUGUUCCAACGCGAUCCCACCGUAUCACGAUGAACCCCAAAUUCGUAUUCAGUAUAACUUUACGAAUUCACCGCGUCGCGCCACCAACCACAUUCCCAGUUGUCAAUUUCCAGUGACACGGUGCAAUAGCGCCGCGUCGCGCCAAGGGCCCAGUUCAAAAAAAUUUGAUGAAAAUUAAAACUUUCAUCCAGGGUUAAAUUAGUCUUUUCCCAUGAUUUUUAUAUGCUCAGAUAUAAGAUUUAAUCCCUAAAAAUAUUUUAAAGUCAUUCUUUAAUCAAUUUUACCCAAAUUAAAGUCAUUCUCUCUCAAAGGGAAAAAUCCAAACUUCAAGAAAACAAGAGCAAAACUCAAGAAAUUCCUCCAAGAACUCCAAGAGCUUAUCGAUCCAAGUAUGUUUGGUGUUCAUCUAUGGGUACCUUUCACCCAUAGAGUCCAAGAAUCCCUUUUUAAAAACUAUAAUUUUAUGGAAUUGUGAAUUCCCAUAUUUGAAAUUGAUUGUAUGCAUAUCUAUAAUGUUAAUUAGGUUUUCAAUCCAUGAUUAUUAUAAGAUUCAUGAAAUUUAAAAUAGUUUAUGUGAUGAAUUAUGUGAAUUUCAUGCUAAACCAUUGAAUUUGCAAUUUAGUAUUGUAUUCAUGAUAUCAUGUAUUGACCAUUAUCAUGUGAAAUAAUCCAUGCUCCCCAAGUGUUUGCUAAAAUGCCUAUGUGAAGUAGAUAGCGGAAUCAUGACAUGUCAUUGUAUGGUCCCAAUAAUGUACAAGCCUUUACGCUACAAGUGUUUGAUAAAAUAUCUCUAUGAAUGAAUUAUGGACAAGUAUACAUUGUUAGGUCUCUCAAGAUCAUGCUAUGCUUUAUUUCAUGCUAUCGAUUUUUGGGGGUAUUUAAUACCCGACAAGCUAGCUGUUUACCUAGAUCCAGUGUUAGUUACAGAAUAGUAUUAUUCAUGUCACGAUCAGUAGAACUCAGUUAGUUAUAGAACUCAGUAAACUUAGUCAGUUAUAGAACUCAGUAACAACUUAGUAUCAGUCUAGUCCAGUGCAGUAUAAUCAGUCCAGUAUCUAUUCAGUUGGGAGUAGGAUUCAGCACCGAAUGAACCAAGGAUGGGGAAUCACUUACUAGUAGAGGGUGUGAUCCUUAGAAGUAGUCCUUGUAUUCCAGAACUGCGUAGCCAGCGUAGCUUGAGAUAUCAAACCUGCUAGUUGAGGAUUGAUGACGUAUUUUUAACCUGCCAGAUUAGGGUUCCUCUAUUCUCAUUAGAGUACCUACUAGAUGAGGGUAUCUCUUUAGCUUGUCUUUACCCAUGGCACGGUACAGACACCCUUCCUAUUGGGGUUACAGAUUAGAUCUCAACUCAGUUAUCUUAUUUGGGGCAUGUCGAUUAGAUGAUUACCUCCCACAGUUUCAGUUUUAGUCUUCAGUAUAGAACUCAAUUCAGUUCUACGGAAUCAGAAUUGUCAAACACAGUCAAAUAGUAUCUGUAACUCAAUUAUCAGUAAUCUUAGUUUAACAAUUACUCAGUAUCAGAAUUUAAUGCUUAGCUUCAGAUAAGCUCAGUUACAGUACUCAUACAUGUAUAUCCAUAGUAUUGCUUACUCAGUAUUUACAGUAACUCCAGUUAUUCAUGUACUUUCAUAUUCAGUUAAUCUAUAUCAUUUCAGUCAGUUAUUGUUCAUACAUAUGAACCCUUGCAUUCAACCUUACCUCAUCAGCAUACCAGUACAUUACACGUACUGACACAUAUUUUCUCUUUGUGCUAUGAUGUCUUAUAUCAUAGGUUCGGAUGCUUAGGUGCUUGAUCUGCAUAGAUAGAUUCAGAUUCAGUCAGUAGUAUCAACUUUUGUGCUUUUAUUUUAGUAUUUUCAGUAGCUUUAGUAUUUCAGUAGUCAAAGUUAGUUGGGGGCUUGUCCCAUCAAGUCCAUUUUCAGAUAGUUCAGUUAGAGGCUUUUCAGACUAGACUUUCAGACAACAUUUAGUUUUAUAGAUUAUUAUUACAAUUGUUAUUAUUUCUCAAAUUCUUAUAUUUUGAACCUUAUGGAAUUUCAGCCUAUUUUUUGCAUUAGUAUUACUAUUCAGUGCUCACAGUAGAUAUCGGUCAUGGGUUAGCUUAUAGUCCUUCGGGAUCGUAAGCAUCGUGUAGCAUCCAGGGUACAGACUCGGGGCGUUACAAACUUGGUAUCAGAGCUUAAGGUUAAAUAGAGUCCUAGGAAGUCUGUAAGCUGUAUUGCAUAAAGUCUUGUGCAUAGGUAUGGAGCACAUCACAUUUAUGGAUAGGAGGUAUGAGAUGUUUUAGGAAAAAUUUCCCUUCUUUCAGUAUUCAUGUCAUGCGAAUGAGCAUGAUCUUAAGAUAAACUCCCAGUCUAAUCCUUUUCUUCCUUUUGUUACAGAAUAUGCCUCUAAAAAAGACUAACAAAAGAAUAAUCGAAAAUCAGGCAGCACCUCAGCCCGUUAAGGCAGAUCCCCUGGACAAAAAUGUCUCUCAUGCAGAAUUCGGAGCUGCAUUUACUUCUCUAGAAAAUUUUGUCACAGCUUAGAAUGAAUGACCAGCUGCUGUUCAUGACAACCCAGUGGCUAAUACUACUGCUGUCAAGAUUUAAGACUUGACCCAAAUGAAUCCUCCCCUAUUCUUAGGAUCUAAGUCAGAAGAGAAUCCACAGGAGUUCCUCGAUCAGGUUCAGAAGGUCAUAGACAUUAUGGGAGUGACAUCCAAUGAGAGUGCUAAGUUAGCUGCCUAUCAGCUAUAAGAUAUAACUCAUACAUAGUGAAAGGUAGACAGGGGUUCAAAUGUAGAGCCCAUAGAAUAAGAAGAGUUUUCUACUACCUUCCUAGAUAGAUUCUUUCCCUUAGAGCUGAGAGAAGCCAAGGUAUUAGAGUUUAUCAAUCUUAGGCAAGGCAAUAUGAGUGUGAAAGAGUAUUCCCUCAAGUUUACUCAGUUAGCCAGAUAUGUUCCUCAUGUAGUAGCAGGCAGUAGGUUCAGAAUAAGCAAGUUCAUAUAUGGGGUAUCAGAUAGUGUGGUUAAGAAGUGCAGAACUGCCAUGUUGAUUAAGAAGAUGAACAUAUCCAGGCUUAUAGUCCAUGCUCAGCAGAUAGAAAAGGCUAAGAAUAAGGGGAGAGAGAGGCAGAAUAAGAGAGCUAGAACUGGUAGCUUCAACUUUAGUCAUCCUAAGUCAGAGGGCGAUAACCGUUCCUAGUAUCAUCCAAAAUCUUCUGUUCUAGCUUCGCCCUCAGCCAGUGCUCCAGUACCUAAGUUCAGAAAUGAUAACAAAGAUAUGGCGCCAGGCUCUAAAUCUCAGGGUAGUGUCAGCAGUGCUCGAAUAAAUCCUCUUUGCCAGAAAUAUGGUAGGAACUAUCAGGGUGUCUGUAGAGAUGGCAAUGAUGUUUGUUUUGGGUAUGGCAAACCAAGACAUAGAUUUAGAGAUUGUCCUCAUUCAGGUUCUCAGGGUCAGUGUAAUCGUCCUUCAGCUUAGUUCGGUCACCCGAAUUAGCAGGGUGCGGCUUCUAGUGCCUCUAGUGGGCAAUGCUCAAACAGGCUUUAUGUACUUCAGUCCAUACAAGAUCAGGAAAGUUCUCUUGAUGUGGUCACUGGUAUAUUACAGGUUUUCCAUUUACAUGUUUAUGCCUUAUUAGAUCCAGGAGCUUCUUUAACUUUUCUAAUUCCUUACAUAACAAUCAAUUUUAAAGGCAAACAAAAAAUCUUAGCAGAACUAUUUUCAGUCUUUACCCUAGUGCGUCAGUCUAUCAUAGCUCAAUGGGCAUACAAGAACUGUCUGGUUAUGAUAUCUCAGAAAGUCACAUCAACAGACUUAGUAGAAUUAGAGAUAACAGAUUUCAACAUCAUUCUCAAUAUAGAUUGGCUCCAUUCAGGCUAUGCCUCAGUUGAUUGUAGAAAUAGAAUUGUUCUAUUUUAGUUUCCAAAAGAACCAGUCCUUAAAUAGAGGGGUAGUACUACAACGCUUAAGGGUCAGUUGAUUUCAUACCUUAUAGUGAGAAAAAUGAUAUCUAAGGGACGUGUCUAUCAUCUUGUACGAUUCAAAAACUCUAGUUCAGAGACUCUCAGUCUUGAGUUUGUUCCAGUAGUUAAUGAAUUCUCAGAUGUGUUUCCUGAAGAUCUUCCUGGAGUUCCUCCCAAAAGAGAAAUUAACUUUAGAAUAGAACUUCUUCUAGAUACUCAACCCAUCUCUUUUUCGCCAUACAGAAUGGCUCCAUCUAAACUCAAAGAGUUAAAAGAACACUUAAAUGAUCUCUUAGAUAAGGGAUUCAUCAGACCUAACAUUUCCUCGUGGGGCGUACGAGUCCUAUUCAUGUGUAAGAAAGACAGUUCCCACAUAAUAUGUAUAGACUAUCGUUAAUUGAACAAAGUCAUAAUUAAGAAUAAAUACCUACUUUCCAGAAUCAAUGACUUGUUUUACAAACUUCAGGUUGUCAAUUUAUUUUCUAAGAUGGAUCUCAGAGCAGGCUAUCAUCAGCUCAGAGUCAGGGAAUACGACAUUCUAAAAAUAGCUUUCUGAACCUAGUAUGGUCACUUCGAGUUUCUAGUUAUGUCCUUUGGUCUUACAAAUGCCCCAACAACUUUCAUGGACUUAAUAAAUCGCGUGUUGAAAUAAUACUUAGACAUCUUCGUUAUAGUCUUCAUCGAUGACAUCCUUGUCUAUUCCCAUAGCGAGAAUGAUCCUGCAAAUCACCUCAGAAUCAUACUCUAGACUUUCAGAACUUAUUAGUUGUUUUUCGAAUUCAGUAAGUACAAAUUUUGGAAAAGGUUAGUAGCAUUUCUUGGUCAUAUUUUUUUUGGUGAUGGCAUUAGAUUUGAUUCUCAAAAGACCGAGGAAGUGAGAAACUAGCCUAGACCCAUCUUUCUAUCAGAUAUUAGGAGUUUCUUUGGUUUGGCUGGCUAUUACCAUUGGUUUGCUGAAGGAUUUUCAUCUAUUGCAUCCCCCAAGUCCAGAUAGACUUAUAAGAAAGUCAAGUUUCAUUGGCUAGAUUCCUAUAAAAAGAGUUUCAAGAGUUGAAGACUCGACUCACCUCAGCCCCAGUUUUGACUCUACCAGAUGGUUCAGAUGGGUUUAUUGUGUACUGUGAUGCAUCCAGAGUAGGUUUGGAUUGUGUCCUCAUGCAGAGAGGUAAGGUCAUAGCCUAUGCUUCUAGAUAUCUUAAGCCCCAUAAGAAUAAUUACCCUAGUCAUAAUCUUGAGUUAGUAGCUAGUGUUUUCCUUAAAGAUUUGGGGGCAUUAUUUGUAUGGGGUGUAUGUUUAGGUGUUCAUAGAUCACAAAAUCUUGCAGUAUGUAUUCUCUCAGAAAUAUUUAAACCUAUGUCAGAGAUGGUGGUUAGAGUUGUUGAAAGAUUAUGACAUGAGUGUUCUGUAUCAUUCGGGCAAGGCCAAAGUAGUAACAAAUGCUUUCAGUAGGUUGUCUAUGGGUAGUGUUGUUCAUGUUGAGAAUGAUAAGAAGAAGUUAGUUCAGGAAGUUCAUCAUCUUGCUCGACUAGGUAUCCUCUUAUUCGAUUCAGCAGAGGUUAGUGUAUGGGUUCAGAACAGUUCAAAAUCAUCUCCAAUUUGCUAGGUAAAGGAAAAGUAGGAUAGAGAUCCCAGUCUAGUUAAGUUGAAAGAGUCAGUUAGAGAUCAAAAAGUAGAGGUUUUCUCCCAAGGGAGAGAUGGUGUGUUGCGCUUCUAGGGUCGGUUAUGCAUGCCAGGUAUAGACGACUUGAGGUAAUGAAUUCUUGUAGAACUGCAUGGUGCACGUUACUUUAUUCAUCCAGGGGCCACUAAGAUGUACUUUAAUUUGCGGGAGAUAUAUUGGUGGAAUGGGAUGAAGAGAGACAUUACUGAGUUUAUAGCUAUGUGCUCUAUGUGUCAGUAGGUUAAGAUUGAGCACUAAAAGCCUAAUGGGUCCAUGCAAGAGUUCAGUAUUCCCACAUUGAAGUGGGAAGAAGUGAACAUAGACUUUGUGAUGAGUUUUUCUCAUACUGGUCAUCAGCAUGACUCUAUUUGGGUCAUUAUAGAUAGGAUGACGAAAUCAACUUAUUUCUUACCAGUUCAUACCUUAUAUUUAGCUGAGGACUGCACCAAACUCUAUAUCAGAGAGUUGGUCAGGUUGCACAGAGUCCCAGUGUCUAUCAUCUCAGAUAGAGGUACCUAGUUUACCUCUCUUUUCUGGAAAGUAUUCCAAAAGGGUCUUAGUACCCAUGUUUACCUCAGUACAACCUUUCAACCUCAGACCAAUGGUCACCUAUUCCUUAAAAAAUGUAUGCAAGGUGUUUGAUAAAAUGCUUAGGAUGCUAGAAAUUCAUGUUUGUAUGGUUCUAUGAUGUCUAAAUGACAAGUCCAUGUUAGCUAUAUACUUCAAUAUGAAUUCAUGCUUUUCAUGUGUUGCUAUUGUGGUGGUAUGAAGCAUGUAAGAUAAAGGAGAUAUACAAUAUGUACCUGAAAUAUAUCCAUGUAUUCCCUACAAUGUUUAAGAUGUUGAAUAACUAUAUGUAAUAUGAUAUCCCCUACUUAUGAUAUUAUGAAUUGUGGACUCAAAUCUUGUGAUCAAGUCAUGUCAUGUGUGUCAGUUUCCUUCUAUCGAGUCCUGGGGGUAUUUGUACCCGAAAAACAUAGCUGUGUGCCUAGAGCUAUGUCACGUUGUUACGAUAAUCUUAGUCAAGCUAUAAUCUAUAGAACUCAGUCAGUCAUAUGACUCAAGAAACCUAAAAAAUCUUAUGAUCUUAGUUAACUCUCAGAUAAUAGUACUACUCCAUCAGUCAACGGAAGUCAGUUAGUCUGUCCAUGUACAUUCAGUUGAAUCAUGUUUAAUCUCUUCAGAUGGGAGUAGAAGUUAGCACCGAGUGAACCCAAGGAUAGGAACUCACCUACUAGUUUAGGGUGUGAUUCUUAGCAGUCAUCCUAGUGUUCCAGAACUACGUAGCCAGUGUAGGUUGAGACAUCUUAGCCUGUCAGAUUAGGGUUGAUGAGGUGGCUUAACCUGUCACUUUAGGGUUCCCAUCAUUCUCCUUUCGAAUACCUGCUAGCUAAGGGUCACCCACAACUGUCCUUACCAGUGGUGUGGUAUUGACACCCCUCCAGUCGGGGCAGAGAUUGGACCCUAACUUAACUAUAUGUGUUAUUGGGGCAUGUCGAUUAAACAACUACCUCCCAUAGUUUCAGAAUCAAUCUCAGUAAAAGAACUCAGAUAGGUUUUCAGAUUUCAGUAUAUCAGGACUGUUCGAUAUAGUCAGACUCAGUUACAGUACGAAACUCAGAUAGUUCCAUCAGAUUCAGGAUUGUUAGAUACAGUCUCCCAUGUUAUCUUAAUUUCAGUAUCAGUCAUGUUAGCCAUCAGUAAAACAUAUAUUAGCAUACAGGAAUAGCUAUCAUGGACCUAUGAUUUCAAUUACUAUGUAUGCAUUUUUGUACUCUUACGUUCAUAUCAGUCAGGCAGUUAGCAUUGUUCAUGCAUGUAAACCCUAUUUAUAUUUAGCCUACCUCACUCGUAUACUCAGUACAUUACCUCAUACUAAUGCAUUUGUGCUAUGGUGCUUUCUUUUUAUGUUACACCAUAGAUUCGAGACACGAACUCCAGAUCAGCAGUUGCAGUAGCAUUUCCAGUCGCAGAGAUUCAGUGAGUCCUCUUCAUUUGAGGAUAAUAUGAUUUGAUUUAUUCAUUAUUAUUUUAGCCCAUUAUCAGUUUAUGGAGUUAGUUGGAGACAUGUUCUUUUAACUCCUUAUUCAGAUAGUACUUAGAGUCUUUCGGAUUCAGUAUUCGGACUUAUGUUAAGAUUUGAUUCAGUUUUCAGCUAUUUUGGGUAUCUUUCACCCAUAUUAUGUUUUGACAGAUUCAUUAUUCAGUUGAACCUUAUGGAUUACAUGUUCACGUUUUCCGCAUUAUUACGUUAUAUAUUUAGUGUAUAGUUACAGAUAUUAGUCAUGGGUUAGCUUGUGGUCCCUCGGGGUCAUGAGCACCGUGUAGCAUUCCAAUUCAGAAAAUUAGGGCAUUACAAAGGUCUUCAACCUCAGCACCCUUUUUAGCUAGUACCCCAGUACCCAAAUUUAAAAAUGAUAAUAAGGAUAGAGCACCCGGAUCUAAGUCCUGAGGUAGUGUUAAUAGUGCCCAUACGAACCCUCUAUGUCAGAAAUAAUGGCAGAAUCCAUCAGGGAAAGUAUAGAGUAGGCAGUGAUGUCUGAUUUAGGUAUGGCAGGCUAGGCUAUCAGAUUUAAGAGUGUCGUGUAGUUUCUCAGAAAGGUAGGGAUUUGUGCCAACAAGGCCAGUCCCAUCAGUCAUCAGUUUCAUCCGGUUGCCUAACUCAGUAGGGUGCCGCUUCCAGUGCUACCAGUAGUCAGCGUCUGAAUAGAUUUUAUGCUCUUCAGUCCUACCACGAUCAGGAAAAUUCUCCUGACGUAGUUAUAGGUAUGUUACAGGUCUUUCACUUACAUGUUUAUGCUUUACUAGCACCUGGAGCUUCUCUUUCUUUUGUAACUCCAUACAUAGCCGUCAAUUUCAGAGUCAGUCCUGAAACUCUAGAGAUGAUGGAUUUUGAUGUCAUUAUCAGUAUUCGAUUGGCUUCACUCAUGCUAAGCCUCAGUUGAUUGUAGAAAUAGAAUAGUUUAUUUUCCGUUCCCAACUGAACCAAUCCUUGAAUGGAGGGGUAGUACUACUGCACUUAAGGGUUGGUUGAUUUCAAACCUUAGAGUGAGAAAAAUGAUAUCCAAGGGAUGUGUCUAUUAUCUUAUGUGAGUCAAAGACUCUAGCUUAAAAACUCUUACUCUUUAGUCAGUUUCAGUAGUCAGGGAAUUUCCAAAUGUAUUCCCUGAAGAUCUUCCUAGAGUUUCUCUCGAAAGGGUAAUCGACUUUGAAAUAGACCUUCUUCCAGAUACUCAGUCUAUAUCUAUUCCACCAUACAGAAUGGCUCUAGUUGAACUCAAAAAAUUGAAAGAAUAGCUGAAGGAUCACCUAUAUAAGGGAUUCAUCAGGCCUAGCAUCUCCCCGUGGGGCGCACCAGUUCUAUUCGUGCAUAAGAAAUAUGGUUCUCUCAGAAUAUGCAUAGACUACCGUCAGUUGAACAAAGUCACAGUUAGGAAUAAAUAUCCACUUCCUAGAAUCGAUGACUUGUUUGACCAACUUCAGGGUGCCAACUACUUUUCCAAGAUAGACCUUAGAUUAGGCUAUCAUCAGCUCAAGGUCAGGGAAUGUGACAUUCUAAAAAUAGCUUUUCGAAUUUGGUAUGGUCACUUCAAAUUUUUAGUCAUAUCCUUUGGUCUCAUGAAUGCCCCAGCAGCCUUCAUAGACUUGAUGAACCCAGUGUUCAAGCAGUACUUGGACAUGUUCAUCAUAGUCUUCAUUGAUGACAUUCUUGUUUACUCCCGUAGCAAAAAUGAUCAUGCAGACCAUCUCAAAAUAUUGUUACAGACUUUUAGAGCUCACCAGUUGUUCGCUAAAUUUAGUAAAUGUAAAUUCUAGCUAAGAUCAGUAGCUUUCCUUGGCUAUAUUAUUUCCACUGAUGGCAUUAGAGUUGAUCCUCAAAAGACUAAGUCGGUGAGAAACUGGCCUAGACCUAUCUCUCUAUCAAAUAUAAAAAGUUUCUUGGGUUUAGCUGGCUAUUACCAUCGGUUUGUUGAAGGGUUCUCUUCAAUUGCAUCGACCAUGUCCAAAUUAACUCAAAAGAAAGUUAAGUUUUAGUGGUCAUAUUUCUGUGAGAAGAGUUUUCAGGAGUUGAAGAUUCAACUAACCUCAACCCAGUUCUUACCUUGCCCGAUAGUUCAGAUAGGUUUGUUAUGUAUUGUGAUACAUCCAGAGUAGGUUUGGGUUACAUUCUCAUGCAAAGAGGUAAGGUCAUAGCCUGUGCCUCCAGACAACUUAAAACCCAUGAGAAGAAUUACCCUACUCAUGAUCUUGACCUAGCAGCUGUAGUGUUUGCAUUAAAUAUUUGGAGGCAUUACUUGUACGGGGUGCAUAUUGAUGUGUUCACAGAUCACAAAAUCUUAUAGUAUGUGUGCUCUCAGAAAGACUUGAAUUUGCAUCAGAGGAUGUGGUUAGAGUUAUUGAAAGAUUAUAACAUGAGUGUUUUGUAUCAUCCGGGAAAGGCCAAUGUAGUGGCUGAUGCUCUCAGUAGAUUGUCUACGGGUAGUGUUGCUCAUGUAGAGGAUGGUAAGAAAAAUUUAGCUCAGGAAGUCCAUCAUUUUGCCCGAUUAGGUGUUCUCUUAGUUGAUUUAGCAGAAGGUAGUGUAUGUGUACAGAGUAGUUCAGAAAAAUCUCUAGUUUUUGAGGUAAAGGAAAAACGGGAUAUCUAGUUAAGUUGAAAGAAUUAGUUAGAGAUCAGAAAGUGGAGGUUUUCUCCCAAGGGGGAGAUGGUGUGCUGCGUUGUCAGGGUCAGCUAUGUGCGCCUAGUUUAGAUGACUUGAGGUAAUGAAUUCUUGCAGAAGCGCAUGGUGCGCGAUUGUAAUACCCUGUAUUUCCCUAGCAUAAUAUAAGUCCCAAUACAUUAGUAUUGACAUAUAAAAUUUUCGAAAUACCCAUUAUUUUUUAGUUUAGAGCCUGAGAUAUAAAAUUUGCCCAAAUCUGAUAACCGGGUAAGAAGUUAUGGCGAUUUUAAGUUUUGGUCAUUAAACACCGUCAUGUUGGUCACUAGUGCAUCGCGGAGCCAGUCUAAAUGACAAUUGUUAAUUUCCAGUAAGGACCGUGAUAUUGGCGCAUCACGCCAAGGACCCAAUUCACAUUUGGAAAUUUCCAGUGAGCCUGCGCAAUGAUGGCGCAUCGAUGAGGUGGAAAAAAUGGAAUUCCAAAGGCUUAGUGUGAUAGAUUCACAUCAUGCCAAUGGAAAAAUAAGGAUUGUCGAUUUCCAAUGGCCCGAAGUGAUUGCACCGCGUCGUGCUGGAGCCAAAAAUUGGGAUAUUCAGUUUCUAGGCUGAGUUUUUAAAUUCGAUUUGGGGUAUUUGGGUCUUUUUCCAUGGCCCUAAUCAACUUAAAACACGAGAUUUAACCCCUAAUUGACCUAAAUAACCAUCAUUUAUUCAAUUCCUCUCAAAAUUAAAUAUCCCCUUCUCAAGAACAAUAAACCCCAGAUCUUAAAUUCAAGAGCAAAUCUCAAGAACUCACCAUCAAUCCUCUCAAAUCCAUUCACCUAGGUAUGUUAAUUAUUCAUCCAUGGGUUCCUUGCACCCAUGGAGUCCAAGUAUCCAGUUUAAAUUAUAAAAUUAUGAUCUUUUCAAGUUAUCUUGAUUUUAAAAUUACAAUUAAAUGACAAAUUUCCAUGAAUCUUGUUCUAUACCAUGUUUUAGCAAAAUUGAUGUCUAUUACUACACUCAAUAUGUUUAAAUACUGUUUUCCACUUAUUUAAUUCACGAUUUGUGAUAAUGGUGUUGAAAUUGUGCUUUACUACAAGUUUUGGUCUAAUUCUUAUGCUUAAUGUACACCAUGCUUACCAAGUGUUUGAUAAAAUGUUUACAAGAAUGAAUAUUUAAUAAAAGCCUUCAUGCUAUGUCCUCCAAGCUUUAGUUUCAUUUUACUAUUAUUGUUUUGAGUCCUGUGGUUAUUGAAUACUUUAAAACCAUAACUGUUUAUUUAGUCUCAUUUUAGUAUCUUCAGAAUAACUUCAGAUUAUAUUAUGAGCAUUAUCAAAAAAGUCAGUUAAACUCAGAACCAUCUAGUAUUUUAGUGUCUUUCAAUUGGGAGAAGGAUUUAGCACCGAGCAAGUGUAGGGAUGGAGGCUUCCCCGUCAGAUAGGCAAAGUCACUAGUAGUAGUCCUUAAACUCCAGAAAUAUGUAGCCAGCGUAGGAUAUGAGAAGUCACCCAUCAGUUUAGGCUUGACUAUCUCGCAGGCGUCACCCGUGAGUUUAGGCUUGACACCCUUAGUCCUUCGGGACAGUACAUCAGUAUAGUGGUUCCACAUAGCCAGUAUUAGUACCCAUGACACGGUACUAACACCCUUCCAAUUGGGGUUAUAGGUUAGACCUCAAUUAACUCAGAUUAGGGAAUGUCAGUUAGAUGAUACCUCUCACAGUCUCAGUCAGAGUCUUAGUUACAGUCUUAGUCCAGUAAUCAGUUUAGACAUUCAGUCUUAGUGUUGUUUGACCAAAGCAUACAGAUAUCAGUUAUCUCAGUAUUUCAGUUUACAUAUUUUAUUCAAUUUAUGUUAUAUACUUGGUCAUGCAUCCUCAGCAUCUACAGUUUUCACAUACCUUCAGUAUUUACAAACUUUCAUGCAUUCUAUUUAGUACUCUAUGUUUUACAUGUAUAUUUAGAUAAUUAUUAUUCCUGUUCAUAAAAUCAUGCAUAUCAUCCUACCUUAUUUAGCAUAUGAUGUGCGAGCUUGACGCUAGCACUUUUAAGGCUUUUAACUCAGAAUAAUUAUAAAUUUUUAAGCAACUUUUGUUGUUUUUGAUUGUUUUCUCUGUGAUAGUGCAGGUGAGCUAAGAUGUAUGAAAACCAAUGACAAUUGAGUCAAAAAAGAUAGAUUUUGAGUAAGCAUCCAUGAAGAGUACAGUUGACGACUUGCCUGAUAGGUCGUCAAUUUUGUUAAUAGCUGUCAGGAAUACCGUCAGCCUAAGGUAGUAUGUAGGAGCUAUAGUGAAGAGUUGACGACAUCGUCUGAUAUGUCAUCAAUUUUCUGAUAAGCUGUCAUGCAUUAUCGUCAGCUGAAGGCAACAAACAUGGAAUUUGAAGAGGAGUUGACGACAUUUUCUUAUAAGUCGUCAGACUCCUGAUAAGUUGUCAUAUAUGUCAUCAUAAAUAUUGUCAGCUAAAGGAUCAAAAAUCUAAAUUUUUAGUUUUGAAUUUCCUUUAAAGUACAGAUAUAAAUAACAACUUUUAGGAUUUCAUUCGGUAUCUGGAACUUAUUUCAAAAGGCAAAGUCACCUCUUUUUGGGCCUCUUAACUGAGAAUUCAAUUUUCAGUUAUGUGAUUGGGUUUUGGGAACUUUUUAUUUAACUUAGAAGAGAAUCAACUUCAGACUUCAUCUUUUGUAAGUUUAAUUUCUCUAAAUGAGGAAUACAAUUGUUACUAUCUCUUUCUUUCUCAUGUGGAACUAAAACCCAUAACUAGGGUUGUGGGAUCUAUGAUUAUUCCUCUAUGGAUUUAAUAGUUGGUUAGGGUUUGAGUGAUUGUGGGAACAUCUUGAUAAUUUCUUUGUAAUGAUUGUUUUCUAUUGGUUGCAAAUAAUAGAUCUAGCCUUAUGUUUUCUUGCUCAAACUGAGAAAUAAACUAAAGGUAGUGAAUUAUUAAUGAGGAUUUGGGAAGGUUAAUUUCCAUCUAAUGAUUAAUAUUGUAACAAGAUUAAUCAACUUGAGAUAAAAUCAGUGUGAAUAGAAGGUUUUAUUAAGUUUGAGAGAAUUAGGGAGCACAACAUCUAGGUAGGUUGAGAAACACUUAGAUGGACUGUCGAUACUGAUAAUUUGGUGUUUUCCACAAGUCACGAGAAUCUAGUACUACAACUAUUAUUCAAUGAGGGGUUGAUAAUCAUAGUAAUCAAAACCCUAGUUUCUCUCUAUUAUUGAUUGAACCAUUGAAAUUUUAGCUUUGAGUUUUGAAACAAGUCAAAACUUUAAUCAUCGUUUGAUUGAUAAAACCCCCAAUUAAAGAAAACCAUAAAGAAAACCAUUAUCUAUCAGUCAUUUUUAUCGUAAAUAGACUUGAUUGACACCUUAUUCCCUGUGGGAUUUGACCCCAACCUAAUUGGGUUAUAUUUUUGACAAUGACCGCUUACUCUCUCGUAAGAGAGGUAUAAUUUGGGCGUAUCAAAUUUUGGCGCCGUUGUCGGGGAAUACGGUUGUCGAUUGAGUUUAUGUGUGUUAAUUGACUAUUAGUCAAGUUUCCUUAUUUUAUGUUUAUUUGUUGUUUUUGUUCGUUAUAGGCUCAUUAUUGUUGAUGCCAAGAACCAGAUGUUUAGGAGAACUAUUAUGAUCCUUAAAUCCUGAACCUCAUCUCAUUGAAAGAAUGUCUAACCAAUAGGAAGCUGAAAGAUUAGCCGCUUUGGCUAAUGCUUAUUAAAUUAACAAAAUGCAGAUAACCCAGGUUGGGUACCUAAUCUAGAUGAAGAGGACCUGGGAGAUGAUGAUUUCAUUGACCCAGCUAAUAAGAAGUGUGCAGCGGAAGUAGUUUCAGCUGUAAAUCUAAAUCGUCCAUUCAGAGGAAGACUAAACCUCCAAGCAAUGCAGUUUGAUAGUGACAAUGAUGAGGAUGAUUUAAAUGGAGCUGGAGUUACAGGGGCAAUCAUUCUACCACCACUAGCUCCUGAGGUGAAAUUCCACAUCACCAGUACUCUGAUCCAGUUACUAAAUUUGAAUAGAAUCUUCAGCAGAUUAUCUGGUGAUAAUUUAAAUCUACAUUUGGUGAAUUUUAUCAAUAUUUGUAAGUUAUUUGUUAAUCCUGAAGUGGGACAAAAUGAUAUUUAUUUAAGAUUGUUCCCACUGUCUUUGUCUAGAGAGGUAACUAUGUAGUUAAAUAAGCUAACUCCUGAUUCUAUAACAAAUUGGAGGGAAUUGAAAGGAGCUUUCCUAUAAAGAUUCUUUCCACCCUUCAGAAUGUUACAGUUAAGAGAUGAGAUCAGCAAUUUUAGGCAAUUGGCUAAUUAAGCUGUACAUGAUACUUGGGGGAGGUUUAAAAAGAAGUUGACUCAAUGCCCAAACCAUAAGAUGACUGAUGAACACUUGAUGGAAACAUUCUACAGAGCUUUGAACUCACUUACAAAGCCAAUAGUGGAUAAUGCUGCAGGAGGAGCUUUUAUGUUUCUCACCUUUACUGAGGCUGCGGAAAUGUUAGAAAGAAUGACUAAGAUAAGUAGAGCUUGGAAUACCAGAGAUUUAUGUGGUAGCAAGCAAUACUGGGUCUAGUGUAAUAUCAACAAAAUAGCAUAGCAGAGAAGAGAAGUGUGAUCAGGAUAUAGCUUACAUGAAAACCCAGAUGGAUCUGCUCAUGAAGGAUUUGCUAUCAGAGAAUAUAGAAAAGGUAAAAGCUGUGGGGUCCCACGGUAAGAAAGCUGAAUCAAACACCGAGGAAGAGGCUAACUACUUGCAUAACUAGGGGGUUUCUGGACUAGUGGUAAAGGAAACUAAGGUUGGAACCAUAAGCAGAUUGGAAGAAUAAAAGUGAUAGGAGUGGACUGUAUGUACUUCCUGGAAGUUGUGAUAAUACUGCCACCAGUUCAGGCAAAAUAUCCAUGGAGGACAUGAUGGAGAAACUAUUAAAGGGAGUUGAGGUGACCAAUUCUGAGGUGACUACUAUGAAGAGUGACAUAUCUUCCAUGAGUCAACUAGUAAAUUCACACUCAACUGCUAUUAAACAACUAGAGCAGCGGAUGAGCCAAUUAUCCACAACAUUCAACCAAAGAUAGAAUAGUACUCUACCAAGUGCUAUAAUUCAGAAUCCAAGGAUUGAUGGAUCAUGUUUGACUAUUACCACUAGGAGCGGUAAUAUGUUAUCUAGUCCAGGAUGGCGAGUAUCCUCUCAAACUGAUGUGGUCAAAAUAGAUUGGGAAAUGGUUGAUGAAUCUUCAGUGGUUCCUGUGGAGUUGGGAGGUUCAUAAAAGAAUAGUGCAGAAGUGGAACAACCACCUAAGCUGAAGCAUGUUAGUGAUGUAGAACAAGGCAUAAGAAAGGAGGUAAAAGUUGCUCCAGUUGAAAUUCCAAGGCCACCCCCCCCAUUUCCACGAUGUUUAAAAAAGAAAGAAGAUGAAGACAAGUUUAACAAAUUUAUUGCUAUGUUGAAGCAAUUGACAGUGAACGUGCCUUUAGUUGAAGCACUGGAACAGAUGACCGGAUAUGCUAAGUUUAUGAAAGAUCUAUUGAUAAAGAAAAGGACUGUGAGCUAUGAAAUAGUAGACAAUCUUCAUCAUUGCAGCGCCAUUGCUACAAGAUCUAUUAUUCGUAAGAAAGCUGAUCUGGGAGCAUUUACUGUCCCAUGUAUGAUUGGAUCGCUUAAGUUUGAAAGGGCCCUUUAUGAUCUCGGGGAAAAUAUAAAUCUUAUUCCAUUGGGGUUUUCAAGAAACUAGGUUUGAGAGAUCCUACUCCCACCAAUAUGUAGAUUCUAAUGGUGGAUAGAUCGGUGAAAAGGCCAAUUGGGAUUCUACAUGAUGUACUUGUAAAGGUGGCUGAUUUUAUAUUUCCUGACAACUUUGUAAUUCUUAACUGCGAAGUGGACUUUAAAGUACCCAUAAUUUUGGGUAGGCCGUUCUUAGCAAUUGGGAGAGUGUUAGUUGACCUAGAGUUGAAUGAGCUAAAAUUUAGGCUCAAUGGGAAAGAGGUUAGUUCUGAAGUGUGUAAAUCUGAAACAAAGGGAGAUGAGUGUCUUUUCGAUUGUUGAUGUAUUCUAUGAAGAUGAGCAAGGUGUACCAGUUAAGGAUAGGUCCGCUUAAAAACCAUAGCUGGUUUGGUUGAACUUGCAAGCAAGGAUGUGAGUGAAUUCAAAGUGGCUGGACUAGGAAUAAAGCAUUUUCUUGAUCCAACAAAUAAGAUACAAAUGAUAUCAUCAAUAUAUCUUGAUGAAGUCUGAAUGUCAAGAUAAUCAAGUCGUGCCGCGACGUUAAAUCAGGCGCUGCUUGGGAGGCAACCCAAGGCAUUUUGCUAUUUGUAUUUGUAUUAUGUGACUGACAUCAUAUCUCUGCACCUAUGGUG